rnacentral:rRNA from 1 species
UCCGUAGGUGAACCUGCGGAGGGAUCAUUACACAAUACAAUAUGAAGGCUGUCCGCAGCUGGAGUAUUUUAUUACCCUUGUCUUUUGCGCACUUGUUGUUUCCUGGGCGGGUUCGCUCGCCACCAGGACCACCAAAUAAACCUUUUUUAUGCAGUUGCAAUCAGCGUCAGUACAAACAAUGUAAAUCAUUUACAACUUUCAACAACGGAUCUCUUGGUUCUGGCAUCGAUGAAGAACGCAGCGAAAUGCGAUACGUAGUGUGAAUUGCAGAAUUCAGUGAAUCAUCGAAUCUUUGAACGCACAUUGCGCCCUUUGGUAUUCCAAAGGGCAUGCCUGUUCGAGCGUCAUUUGUACCCUCAAGCUUUGCUUGGUGUUGGGCGUUUUUGUCUUUGGUCGCCCAAAGACUCGCCUUAAAGUGAUUGGCAGCCGGCCUUUCUGGUUUCGCAGCGCAGCACAUUUUUGCGCUUGCCAUCAGCAAAACGGCAAUCCAUCAAGCCUCCUUCUCACGUUUGACCUCGGAUCAGGUAGGGAUACCCGCUGAACUUAAGCAUAUCAAUAAGCGGAGGA